rnacentral:sRNA from 1 species
AUAGGUCAAAUUUAUUAGCCGGGAUAAUGGGCGGCGGAUAUUAGCGCCCGAACCGCAGCUUCUCAAACCCGAAAUCUAACGAAGCUGCAAUUAGCAGACGCUCCCCGCUCCCGGCCCGGCCGCUUCCCGCCGCCGCACCCGCCCGUAGGCGCUGCUGGGGAAAUGGCCUUUUGCCGCGGGGGUUUUCGUUAUCUUCUAAAUAUUUUCAUCUGCGCAGACCCCAAACAAAAUGAAUCUUCAGUUACAGCGGAGAUGCAACCUAAGAAUGGUUCUACGAAAUCUGCGGAAGCCUAUCGGCUGCUCGCCCUCCGCCGGAGCAACGAAAGCGUAGCAUCGUGGGGUGCAAGCUCGGCGCUGUCCACGCGUGGAGCAAGGGGAGCACCGGAGCGUUCUCCACGCGACCUAGGAUACAGACCCGCGUGGGGAGAAUUUGUCCCCGCCCGGGUUUCCAACGAGGCGUCGCGGCCACUUUGGAGAUGCUCCCUGGCCCCAAUCAGGAGGACUGAGCGGUGACUUUCAGAGCCUGGAUUUAAAUCACAGUAACACCGAGGGAAGAUGAAUGGCAGUGCUAUUGAAUGUGGCUAAAAUUGGAUCCUUCAGCCCAGGAUGAGCCCCAGGAGAGGCCUGGAUACUGACCACUGGUUCCGACAGUCCUCAAAGACAAUGGUGUUCAUGAGGACAGACAUCAUCU